AUUUUCUGUUGUCUUCUACAUUUUCGAUUGAAAUAUAAAAUUAAUUCACGUAAAAGCCAAUUAUUAUUGAUAAUUGCAAUUCCAAAAAAUAUGGUCUAAACGAUAUUUAACAUUUUGGUUGCUUGCGAUUUCGAUAAUCAAUGGAUUUUAGAUAUUCAAGAGCCCUUAAGGACGGAAUGGAUGCAAAAUAUAAGUACCAAAUAAAUAUAAAGAUUAUUUUUUUAAAUAUAUAUUAUAACUGCCAAAUUUAUGAAUAAGAAGCUGCGAGAAACAAAAUGCAAAUACGAAUUACAUAUUACAAAUUAUCUACACAGCCGCAUAGAAAAUAAAUGAAAGGAAAAGAACAAACAACAAAGAUUUCAGAGAACGCCCCAAUAUAAUAGCAAUUAAAAAGAAAAAAAAGACAGAAUUAUUGUUUGAAUGGAGUGAUAAUCGGAGGAACUCAUGGACUUAUGGGUUGGAGAUUGUAUGGAGUUCGUAACGAGUGUCCCACUUAUUAGAGCCGAAAUCUAAAAGUAUCGCGCAACUCGAGCCUAGAAAGGACCACUCGCAGCACCUGCGUCUAAUUCUGGGAAUGAUAAUAUGCGAAAUCCUGGUAGAGCGAGUAAAGGAAAAUGUGGAACAUAAUUACCCGAAUUUAGCCCUAAAAAAGAUGUUCAGGAAUGCAACACAUAGAUCGUAGUACCAGGCACUACUUCUAAGUUAUAAAGGAUCUGCGGCAUUAGGAGGGCGUAGGCUAGUUCAUGAAAUCGUUAUGGUUCUCAAAGUUGACGCGAUGGUCAAAAAAUACGUCCAAGCAGUUAAGAAACAAUAGCUAUAAGGAUAUCAUUUUGGUGAGGAUAAUAAUUCACAUUACCGAAAAGCAUGAUAGGACAUCAGAAUUACUACUACCAGUAGUAUGCAUUAGAAGCAAAGAAGAGGACCUCAGUGGAGCUAUGGCAGCCCGGACAAUAAAAGAAGAAUUCCAUAAUAGUUGCCAUUAAUAUCAGUGAGCUAAAAUCUGCCAGUUAGGUGCAAAUGCAUAUGGAUGCAGAAUGGUUCAUGGAAUUAAAGGCUUUGUCAGGAUAAGUCCAUAGACAUGUUUUUAACAUAACAUUUAAUCGUAUCAGUUAAGUUCACCAAUAAGAUCCGAAUAAACCAAAACUCUUUAAUUGUAUAAGAAAACAGAAUUUAUUUUCCCUUAAGCGUAUUCUA